CAAGGACUGCAGCGCUGGGACCGCAUCCACUCAGGAGAGAGACGAGCAAGCAUGCCUUGCAGCCCAGCCUCUAAGUCCCCUGCUUCCUGAGAACUACAAGUCCCAGAAUUCAUAGAAGCUGAAGGCCAGAAGAGACCAUGAUGCUCAUCUCAUGUGACCUCCUGCAUCAGGGCGAUCCCUGGCUUUGGGCCCCCUGGACGCAGCACCCCACAUUUAAAGGGGUUCACACCACCUCCCCUUCUGGGGAGCUGCGGCUCAUUCAGCCCCUCGCACUGGCAAGGGGGCCGGGGUUGGGCAAUGUGGCUGGGACGCAGAUCCAGACCCAGCAUCUCGUGGGCUAACGAGCAGCCAUUGGAUCCCGGCUCGCCGGGGCUUCCAGGAAAGCGCCGCAUUGAUUGUGCUCUCAGUGCACUGCAGGCUGGGCUGGAUGUGCAACGAUAUCACUCAACAGCAAUCAAAUCAUCCUCCUGGUUAAUAACGCUCCCGGCCUUUCCCU